rnacentral:rRNA from 1 species
UACAGAGGUCUCGAGCGUUAGGCGGAAUCACUGGGCUUAAAGCGUGUGUAGGCGGAUCGUUAAGUGCCUUGUGAAAUCCCACGGCUCAACCGUGGAACUGCUUGGCAUACUGGCGGUCUUGAGCAACCUAGGGGCGAGCGGAACAAAUGGUGGAGCGGUGAAAUGCGUAGAUAUCAUUUGGAACGCCAAUGGUGAAAACAGGUAGCUGGGAGUGUGCUGACACUGAGACACGAAAGCCAGGGGAGCGAACGGG